GGGGGCGGAGGGGAGCGGCUGGGUCCCCGCAGCUGCCCGCUGGUCCCCGCAGGUGCGCGCAGGUGCACGCAGGUCCCCGCAGGUGCCCGCAGCGCUGCCCCCCGCCCCCUCCCCUCCCCUCCCCUCCCCUCCCCUCCCCGCCCCCCGCGCACUGGGCUUCUUGCAUCGCGUUAGUUUGCCGCGUGUUUGGGGUCCGCGGGCUGGACCCGGUUCAGCGUCUCAGAGAAGGGGAGCGCCCCGCACCCGCACCCCGCGCCGCCCCCGGCCGCAGAGAUCACAAGCGUUUGCGCUGACAGCUGCGGCGGGGCGGGCGGCCUGUGCCCGGGGGCGGGGGCGGGGGCGGGGGCGGGGGGGGCUCCCGGCGAUGCGAGUGGAAGCGGAUGGGAGGCGAGGGCCGGGCCCCCAUCUCCCGAGAGCCCCGCGGCUUCCUAAAGCCCUUCCCGGGGAGGGAUGGGAGGCUCUGCCGCAAAGGAGCGGCUGCCACGCGCGCGCCUCGCGUCCCUCCCCGGGUCCCUCUUCCCACGCACGACACACGGGGCGCUAGAAGGGACCAGACCGCAAAGCCCCCUGCGCGGCAGCCCCUGGGGUCCCCCGGGCAAGCAGGGGACGGGGCGCUGCGAUCCCGGCCGCCAGGCCGCCUGCAGGUGCCCCAGCCGCCCCCUCCCCGGCCGGGUCGCCUGGGCCUCGGUGCAGGUCGAGGUGUCAGGACAUCUGCACUCGGGCCGCCCACCCCUAGGGCUCCGCACGGCGGGGGCUCCGCACACUACACCCCGGUCCUCGGCCUCGCAGGGAGCCCGGCCGCCCCCCGGACACCAGCCCUGGAGAGAGGAAGAGAAGACAAGGGGACAGAAGAAGUGCUUCCCGCAGAGGGGACACUGCUGUCUGCUGGAUUUAAAAGUGCGGCCUCUUUGAAACAAAUACCGUGA
rnacentral:lncRNA from 1 species